UCUGCAACCACCCUAAGGGCGAGACCACUUACUUGGGAACUAUCCCUGAAUUGACUUCUGGGAACUAUACCUGAAUUGACUUCUAAGGUAGUUCGGAGGACUUAUCAAGAGCUCGGAACCUUCCCUUUGGUUCAAGCUAUUGUCUAUUCUAGUUGGAGAAGGCAGUAAGAGCACGAUCAAAGAAAACCUUAUAGAUUGAAGUUCAUGUGAUUCGGGGUAAGAGAUUAUGGUACCGAUGCAGAGUGAAGACUAAGACCACAAGGAGAACUAGUUAUCCAACGAUAUAAGAUACGGCUACUAAUAAAGCGACUUCCUAGUAUACCUGCUAACUCCUCGCCUAAUCUCUCUGCCAGAGCCAGAUAGCCAAGAAAGAAGAGAGGAGAGCUGGAAUGGGGGAACUCUCGAAAGAGCUUCCGGGCUUCAGUCCUGACCUGAAGGUCUCAAUCAUUCAAUGCUCGUACCCAAGGGACCAAGGUAGCAUCCAAGACAGAUCUUGUCACUGGGGAGACCCAGGAAUAUAGGAAGUGUGGAGUCAGUAGUAGCAGUUUAGUAAGGGCAUGGGGCAGGGAGUGACCCGUCGGAAGUGUGGAGUCAGUAGUAGCAGUUUAGUAAGGGCAGGGAGUGACCCGUCUUGUUGAGUCGACUGUGAACGCAUGGUUAGCUCUUCAAAAGCAAAAGAAUCGCUCUUCUUCAUCUUCUCCUCCUCAUUCCUUUCCUUGAGCAUUGAUCAAGGCAUGGGAUCAGCUCAUGAACACUAGACUAGUAAGUGUUAUAUUAUAGCAUAGCCGCAGGCAAAGUUCAAGUGAAAGCACCCUGCUUCCAGGCAUAUCUUAUUUUCAGGGAAUGGUUCAAUUGACAGGGAAGAAACCAUAACUAGAAAGAAGAAGAAACCAUAACUAGAACUAGAAAGAAAAACAGUCUCAUAUCUAUUUCGAGCUGUCAGAAUAGAAUCUCGUUCUCGAGCUGUCCUUUGGUACUUGACGCUUUAGAUGGUAAUAACUGAAGUGACCACUCUUCAACAGCCCCUCAGCUUACCAUCUGGAAAAAAAGAAGCUCGCUUUCGGCAAGCAGCUUUCAUUUGAUAUUAAGAACAUGGUAGGGCUUCUUUGCAAGAGAAGGGGUUGCGCAGUUAAGAUACGCAGAGGAGGCAUGCCACGCAUAGUCAAAGGGAAGAAAGAAGGAUUGAUGGACAGAGGGAAGUAUCCGGUCUCAUCUGGUUUUUGUUCGCCGGGAAAGAAGAAGUCAUUCCUCUUUCAAGAGACUGAGUUCAUUCAAUUAGAGGCUCCUAUCAAACUGUUCUAGGUUUAUUGUACGCGAGAGAAAACCAACUCCUAUUUGUAAUAGUUCGCAUUCGGGACAAGAAACAUUACAUGGAGAGGAGUUCCAGUGAAGUGAUCAGUUCAUGACAUAUUAUACCUUUCCGGCUGAUAAAUAUAAUAUAGGCGCCCAUUUCCGAACCCGAACUGAUAUGAUAUGAUAGUGUUUUCUCUGAGCUUUCCUUAGUCUCUUAUCUGAAUGGCAUGAACUCUUUGGAAGCAAGGGAGUGAUUAGAGUUCAUAGUUGUUUCAGAACGGUUAGGUACUUGAUUUAUAUAUAAAUUAGAAGCCCCCCCAGUAGAGGGAAGGAGAUGGAAUGGAUAGAGAAGAUUAUAAUACGCCGGCAGCUGCUCUUGCUGUUCGGUUCGGGGCUACAUUAUAGACUGAAGGGGUGCCCGCUCCUACGCUCCUUACCAGUCGCCCCUCGUCUGAUAUCAAUUAGUUUAGUGCCGAACGCUCCGAAAGAGAGUUCCUCUCCCUACCGGUCUGACGCACCAGUUCUAUUCUAACAUUACUUAAUUGCUAUUGGUAUACCAGCUAGCACCAGUUCGUUCAUUUCAUUCACCAGCGCCAAGCUCGUAAAUUAGGUACAAGCUCGUAAAUUAGGUAUAAUUGACUCCUCUACUCCAAUUCUAACAUUACUGGUCAUUCUGGCACCAAGUGGUUCAUGUACCAUUCACUUCCUUCCCUCUCCCGCAGCUGUGAGCUCAAAUACAUACCUCAACUAGAUUCUGGAAGCUCCAUGAAAAGGUUCGAAGCCUUAAAGAGCAGCAGCUGCCGAAAGAGAUUAUUAUAUUAAUCUUCUUCCUUUCUCUUCCCGGCAUAUGAAAGGGAUUCUUUUCCCGUCCCUGUUGCUAUCACUCAAACUGCUGCAGAAAGGUUGGAGAUAGAGUAAGUAGCAGCUUUUGCUCUUUGUCUGAGCAUAUGAGGCUCUGCUCCUUCUGUAGCUUCAGCUGAGGCCGAGAUUCCCUCUGAUCCGUACCCACUACCCGCACAAAAAAAAGUCUAAGUUUCAUUUGGGCCGAGUUAGAGUUCAUUCAUACUGCUAUAUGCCAUUCACUACUCUUGCUGAGAGGGAAAAGAAUCCCGCAGUUCAGAGUGCAACUCCUUCUUCGAGUGGUUUGAUCAUUCCUCUAUUCCCAGCUUCUUUCGCACAGCAGGCGACCACAUGAUGGCUUACUCUUUCAGGUGUUAUACCAUUCACUCCUUCAUGGGUAAGAAACUAUUGAAAGAAAAGCAGCUAAGCACUCGGAUAGGAAAGAAUUUCUUAUUCAAGCACUAGGUAGGCAUAACAUGUGAGUUUACCCGCCGCUAGUUCAGUUGCAGAAAUGGGUGUCUUAGGAAUAGCGAUCCAGGAAGCAGUGCUUCUUGUCCGAGGUAGGUAGGGUAGGAGGAGUCAAUGGACACAUGACUUGGUGUUAGCUAGCUGGCAUCGCUACGUGAGAUAGUUCCUCCGCAGUGAAUGGUGAUAAGUGAGAUUUUGAGUACGCUUUCUAAAUUGAAAUAAAGAGCAGCCGUUCAUGGUUUAAGUUAAAGUACUUGUUCGCUUUUAUCGGGACUCAUUACAUGUCAUAAGCAGCAGCCCUUACGAGUGUGCCCUGUGUUCAAUAAUGGGUCUGUGCUCUCCCGUCCCCCUCCGAGUGAGAAAUAUAGGAUGAAAGGCGUAGCUCCCGAACUGGAUGCGUAGCUCCCGAACUGGAUUUGCUUAUACUAACUCAGACUCGGGAGUCAUUAAAAUAGUUGCUGGUGACCGGGGUAAGACUCAUUGGCUCGACCACUUUGAUAUGAAUAUACGUUCUUUAAUAACCUUUCUUUUCCAGCUAAGACCUAGCACCAAGUACCUGGUCCUAGUAAUUAACUCUUUGUUCUAACAUUAAGAAUUUAGACUCCUUCUUAUCCAGUGGUUCAUGGCAUUCAAAACUUAAACAGAAAUUACGAAAGAUCUAGAAAUAUUGACGGCCCUACCGGUCUCGUGAUUAACGUAUUUCUUUCCUCGGGUGCUAAAACAAGAGGGCUCUCACUCCUGACUCUACCAGAGCGCAUAUCUUUUCUUUCCGGACUCUAGCAGAGGCAUAUUCAAGGUUUGAUUCUCUACCAUACCAGUCCAGUUUCGUAUUAUCCCGUAUGAGCAGCAUAUGUCUUGUUUGAUUCUCUUCUGUACCAGUAUCCGUUCAAAUCGUUAUAUAAAUAAAUAAGUUAACAGUAUACUCAUAUUAGACUCUCAAGUUUGGAGUGUAAAGAAAUAUAAGUCUAUAAAUUUAGACUCUCAAGUUUGGAGUGUAAAGAAAUAUAAGUCUAUAAAUGGAAGUACUGGUAGUAUAACAAUAGAUUCGAACAAGUCAUUGUCUGAUUCAAUUUCAAUCAAGUGUCUCAAUAUUGAAUAUAAGUUCUUCAUUCAAGUAUCUAGUGCGGGGUGUGGAUAACAAGAAAUAUAGUUGUGCGGGGAUCUUGUACCAAACUGAACUUUAGAUCGUGUGCUCUUAGUUAGUCCAUCUGACGUGUUCAAUGGGAGGGUCCGGGAAUUCACUAUCCCAGUCGAGCCGGGAUACCCUUUCUUGUUCAUUUUCUGAGUGAUCAAAGAUUUUUUUCGAGUUCAAAUAGGAAUUAACUGCUGCUGCAGCCGGCUUUUGAGUUAUAGCUUCCGAGGGUCUUUCUUUUUUAUCAUAUGUGAGACUGUUCAGAUACUUGUUAUCAUAUUCCAAACAGAACUUCUCUAUGAAAGAUACUUGUUAUCAUAUUCUUUAAUUCCAUUUCCGAAUGUUUAAAUUUGAGCUCUUCACUUUCCGUAGAUGAAUCUGAAUCUUAGCUACAAGCUAGCACCAGUUCUAUUCACCAGCGCCAAGUCUACAAUGGAUACUCUCACUCCUCGAGUUAACUUCUUUCAUUGCUACAAGCUAGCUAACACCAAGUGGUUUUUAUCUGGCACCAAGUCUACAAUGGAUACUCUCACUCUUUCCAAGCUCUACAAUGGUACCCUACCCAAAGAAAUUCGUUCCUGGAUACAUUUAGCAGCUAGCACCAGUUCGUUAGUCACUGGUAAUUCUGGCACCAAGUAGUUCAUUACUGGUCAAGUAGUUCAUUACUGGUAAUUCACUUCCUUCCCUACCCACUCCAAUUCUAACCUGGAUACAUUAACUCCUCGAGUUAACAGUGUUCUUUCAUUGCUACAUGAGUUAACAGUGUUCUUUCAUUGCUUUUCGAGCCCAGCGGUUCAAUUGUGAAAAGUGCACAAUGCUUAGCCCUCUUACGCUCAGUUGCGGGCACAAGCUUUGGAAUGUCAGAAGUUCCGAAGUGCGGCACCAGUCUAACAUAUUAGAAACUAGUAUUGAUAUACCCUGACCCUUUCAGGUGGAAGGCGACCCGCUUUAAAAUAAGAUGAGUCCAUAACCCGAACGAAAGAGCAGUUCAUUAAGUAAUUAAUUCACGAACUAGCUGAGAGUAUCCUCGAUUGUAGAUAGGCUCGAGCACAUGCGGUAGAGUGAAUGUGUAUAAGUACAAGUACAGUAUCUUCAUAACCACUCUAGAUCGUAUAAUUCCCUACUUUUAUUGGAGUGAGUGAAUCCUCAAAACUCACUGGUGCUAGCGGAAUACGGGGACGAGAUCUGGAAACUACGUGGGAAAAAGAAAAGAGAAAGGUACGACAGAUUAGGAGAGUCUUAAUGAGGUACGGUAGAUCUUUCGUAGUUUUGAAUGCCAUGAUAGACUUAGUCUUAGCUUGUUCAAUUUAUACUCAUAUUCACGAACUGGUGCUAGCUUUCCAGGUCUUAGGUGUUAGCUUGCUGGCAUCGCUACGUGUUCCAUCCCCUGAGGCGCCUCUCUUCCAUUAUCAUAAAAUGAGUGGACCGGUGUCUGACUCUGUCUCCUUUUCUACCUCAUAAGCAAGGAAGUUCUUCUUACAUCCAUCAGCACAAUCAACUCAAUUCCUUUCAAGGAUUUGGCGCGAAGAAUCUUUCUAUAUUUGUGUGGCGCGCUCUUCCCACUGAUGACAAUGUUCAAAAAUAUGGAAGAGUAAGGAAAGGAGAAGAAGGAAUGGAGAAAACAGAAAGAGAUUCAGAUAUGUGAUACCAGCACUAUUCGCUUGAGUUUUGGUAUGCGAUACCAGCACUAUUCGCUUGAGUUUUGGGGUGGGCCUUUCGUACUCCGGGGAGAAUGAUUCAGCGCACUCAAAUCUAGUGUAUGGGAUUCAAUAUGAAUGAAAAGCCGGGUGAACCAACCUAUCAAAUGGAACCAACCUAUCUCACUAAUGAAAAAGUGGGCCUCCAACGCCUGCUUCAGUCAGUCUAGUGGGCCUCCAAUGCCUGCUUCAGUCAGUCUAGUCUCUAUUUGGUGGCGCUGGUUCAUUAAGUAAUUCCCGACUUGGUGCUAGCUAGCUGGCAUCUCGACGUGGGCCAAGAAAGAGCUUUUUCCAUGGAUAUAGCUGGAAGACUUGAGAGAGUGGAGCAAGAAGAGAAGUAGAGAGACAAUGGGAUCAUUUGCUAGGCGGAGCAUAUGCCCGCUCUUGAUCCAAGUAUCAUACGAGAUAGAAUGUAUCCGAUAAAGCAACCUUGAAGAGAGGAAGAGGGCGAGAGCUGCAAUCCCUCAUUGUGCAGUCCGCGGUCACCGGGGAGCAGAGUCCGUCUACUCUGUUCUAUAAGAUGGAAAUAAAGAAUAUAAGAUGGAAAUAAGUAGUCCGUCGACGCAUAGUCGUGUGUUUGAAUUUGAAUGCAUGGCUUUCUGGUGGAGAUCUACUUUGCAGCUUACUUACGAGAGACUCCUAUGCUAAGUGUCUUUGUUUGGUGUGUUUGCAUGUAUGGGCUAGUCGUCAGUGUAUCUUUCUGAUCGGAUGCUUUCAGUAUCGCUUGAUGAACGGAAGUUCAAGUCUACUUUCUUUCUAUAUCCGUUGUUGGAAGUGAGUGAAUCUACUCCCCUAUCCGUUGUUGGAAGUGAGUGAAUCUACUCCUGAAUCGACUCCCCUCUCAUAGAGAGUACUCAGUAGGAACUUGCUUUCAAGCCGAGGUAGAGUAGGAACUUGCUUUCAAUUAUACUGUACUCAGUAGGAUCAAUUCAAGCCGAGGUAGAGUAAGAGUACUCAGUAGGAACUUGCUUUGCUUUCAAUUGUACAGUACUCAGUAGGGCUUUCCCUGUUUUUUUUUCUUUAUAUACUCAAUUCUACUUGAUUCUCAGUCCAAUGCGAGCACUGCCUCUGGAAUUCGACUAAAGGGUAGCCCGUCUACUCCUUUUUACAGGACUCACAGAGGAAUACACCAGAUAGCCCGAACCUCGCAGACGAGUUGAGUUAUGUAAUUUCACUCCUAAAGUAGCAAAUAUAACGGGCGGCGCCGCUCAACAUAGAGAAUGAAGGAAAGCCAAUCCCUAGUUACUUCCUCAGCCAGAAAGAGCUUAGCUAAUUCUAACGCACCAGUACGAGAGAUCAAUGACUUCUCUUUUGAUAUGGUCACUUCUACAUCUCUCCACGUCGCUAUCGCCCCGUCGAAUACAAGACUUUCUCACAUAAAAUCGCCAAUCGACUAUCGUCUCACCUUAUAUGAUAAUCCUUCCCAACUUCAAAGUUCAAAGAAUUCAACUUUUGUCUUUCUUCUCAGCUCUUCGCCCCUCCAAAAAUUAAUGGAAUUCAGUCAGAGAUCAACGUAGCGUCAAGUCAAAAAGGGAGGACAGACCCGGGCAUUAGUCCGAACCUCCUUUACUUUGCCCCAGCCUGUGGAAGCUGAUCCUGGUUCACCUCUCUCUACUAUAUUUUUAACCAGAAUAGGAAUGAAAGUGAAGCAAAAUCCCCGGAAGGAAGAGCAGUAAGUUAAGGGCUUGAUCCAAGAAAAGAGCAGGAACGAGUGAGAACGACGGGGCGACCAACGGGGUAGAGUGAAUGGCCAGCCAUGCAUGUUAGACCUCUUGCUGGGAUCGACCGAUAGGGUAUGUAAUUGUAAUAGCUCUAAUGGGUCAGAUCGUCGAGUACUUUUUCAUAGCCAUUCACGCUGUAAAAUACCUGAUGGGGCAAAAAAUAACUGAUUUCUCACACUGAUUCAAUCAAGUAUCUGCAUAUUCAAGUUCAGUUUGGGUUGUCUCUUUUUGUCCGUGGCUGUUAUCCAACUGUCACUUUGAGCUCUCCAGCAAAUGGGGGCUCGGUGUAUAAACACAAACACCCUCUCCUCAUGUCUUCAUGGGUAAACCUAGGUGUAUACACCCUCUCUUCAUUCGCAUAAAUAAGAACACACACUAUCAUCAUGACAACAAAAAAACACUAACAACAAGGUCUCGGAUCCACACGGUCCACCCUUAGAGGUGUCCCACCCUUAGAGGAAUUUUAUAUUAAGGGAGGGAUCGCCCGGGGAGCUGUUCCACCUGAUACGGGCAGCCCAUAGAGGGUUUUUCCCUCUAAGGUGAAGGUGCUUUCUUAUAUUCUUUAUUCGUGUCGUGCCUUUACAAAUCACAAAUCUUCGUUCCUAGACACUGAAACUUAGAAAUCGUUCCUUUUUUACACUUGCACUGAAACUUAGAAAUCGUUCCUUUUUUACACUUGCACUGAAACUUAGAAAUUGGAUUUAUGGCUUACUUUGGAUUACUCUCUUUCACCGGAGAAACUGCUGCUGCUGCCGGGAAGAGAAAGAAGUACGCGUUCGGGAUUUGAUAUGAUUCCACGUUGGCUUUGAAGCAGCUGCAUGGUACUGGCAUUUUGUAGACCUGGUUCGGUUAUUCCCAUUUUUCUCUAUCUAUUGGUGGGGAGGUAUAUGAAGGAACGAAUCAGUGGAUUGAGGAAUGAAAGCUCGAAGACAAAGAGAACCGGGCUUUUCCAAAGAAUGACUGCAGCUUUCCCACUCCCUUUGAUUAUCAUAUACAAAAAAGUGUCUUCCACUUUCCUACCAAAUCUCUUUUUAUUCUGGCACAUAAAUUCAGGGAUCGAAGAAAUUAUGGCGGAUCAUGUUCACCAAGAAAUGACUCGAAAUUGGAUCUUGGUCUA